UACGAAGGGGGCUAGCGUUGCUCGGAAUCACUGGGCGUAAAGCGCACGUAGGCGGCUUUUUAAGUCAGGGGUGAAAUCCUGGAGCUCAACUCCAGAACUGCCUUUGAUACUGAGAAGCUUGAGUCCGGGAGAGGUGAGUGGAACUGCGAGUGUAGAGGUGAAAUUCGUAGAUAUUCGCAAGAACACCAGUGGCGAAGGCGGCCAACUGGUCCGGAACUGACGCUGAGGAGCGAAAGCGUGGGGAGCCGAACGAGG
rnacentral:rRNA from 1 species